CCUACGGGUGGCAGCAGUGAGGAAUAUUGGUCAAUGGACGAGAGUCUGAACCAGCCAAGUAGCGUGAAGGAUGACUGCCCUAUGGGUUGUAAACUUCUUUUAUAUAGGAAUAAAAUGUUGCACGUGUGGGAUUUUGUAUGUACCUUAUGAAUAAGGAUCGGCUAACUCCGUGCCAGCAGCCGCGGUAAUACGGAGGAUCCGAGCGUUAUCCGGAUUUAUUGGGUUUAAAGGGAGCGUAGGUGGGUUGUUAAGUCAGUUGUGAAAGUUUGCGGCUCAACCGUAAAAUUGCAAUUGAUACUGGCAGUCUUGAGUACAGUAGAGGUGGGCGGAAUUCGUGGUGUAGCGGUGAAAUGCUUAGAUAUCACGAAGAACCCCGAUUGCGAAGGCAGUUUACUAGACUGUAACUGACAUUGAUGCUCGAAAGUGUGGGUAUCAAACAGGAUUAGAUACCCGAGUAGUC
rnacentral:rRNA from 1 species